rnacentral:rRNA from 1 species
GACGAACGCUGGCGGCGUGCUUAACACAUGCAAGUCGAACGGAAAGGCCUGCUUUCCCUUGUGGAUUGCGGGUACUCGAGUGGCGAACGGGUGAGUAACACGUGAGUGAUCUGCCCCCAACUUGGGUAUAAGCCUGGGAAACUGGGUCUAAUUCCCGAUAGGACUGCAGGGUGGUGCCUGUGGUGGAAAACGAUUUUCUAGUGGUUGGGGAUGAGCUCGCGGCCUAUCAGCUUGUUGGUGGGGUAAUGGCCUACCAAGGCGGCGACGGGUAGCCGGCCUGGGAGGGUGGACGGCCACAUUGGGACUGAGCUACGGCCCAGACUGCUACGGGAGGCAGCAGUGGGGAAUAUUGGACCAUGGGCGGAAGCCUGAUGCAGCGACGCCGCGUGGGGGAUGACGGCCUUCGGGUUGUAAACUCCUUUCGACCGCGAGGAAGCCACCUGGUUGGAAGGGUGGUGACGGUAGUGGUAGAAGAAGCACCGGCUAACUACGUG